rnacentral:rRNA from 1 species
UACGAAGGGGGCUAGCGUUGCUCGGAAUCACUGGGCGUAAAGCGCACGUAGGCGGAUUUGCCAGUCAGGGGUUAAAUCCCGGGGCUCAACCUCGGAACUGCCUCUGAUACAGCAAGUCUUGAGUCCGGAAGAGGUGGGUGGAAUUCCUAGUGUAGAGGUGAAAUUCGUAGAUAUUAGGAAGAACACCAGUGGCGAAGGCGGCCCACUGGUCCGGUACUGACGCUGAGGUGCGAAAGCGUGGGGAGCAAACAGG